rnacentral:rRNA from 1 species
GACAGAGGGGGCAAGCGUUGCUCGGAAUUACUGGGCGUAAAGGGCGCGUAGGCGGGUUGUCAAGUCGGUCGUGAAAUCCCUCGGCUCAACCGAGGAACGUCGAUCGAUACUGCUGUUCUUGAGGAUUGCAGAGGAGACUGGAAUUCCCGGUGUAGCGGUGAAAUGUGUAGAGAUCGGGAGGAACACCGGUGGCGAAGGCGGGUCUCUGGGCCGUUACUGACGCUGAGGAGCGAAAGCGUGGGGAGCGAACAGG